rnacentral:rRNA from 1 species
UGAGGGACGAAAUUAUUGACGGUACCUCAUGAAUAAGGGGCUCCUAACUCUGUGCCAGCAGGAGCGGUAAUACAGAGGCCCCAAGCAUUAUCCGGAAUCACUGGGCGUAAAGGGUGUCAAGGCGGCUAUAUUAGUCGUUCGUUAAAUCCGUGGGCUCAACCUACGGUCUGCGAGCGAAACGGUAUAGCUAGAGGUCAGGAGAGGUGCAUGGAACUCAUGGUGUAGGGGUGAAAUCCGUUGAUAUCAU